CAGAAGUAGAUGGAAUGAGUAACUGCAGAGAAGAUGGGCUGGGAAGUUUUGGUUCACUGUCGCACAGGAACAUGGCAAGAGAUGCAGUAGCGUAAAUCAUUUAUAGUUCAGCUCUCCACUCAAACCUGGGACAACCACAGAACUUUUCUGCGAUGACCAUCCUUCAUCCCUGCUGUGCUGCUCGAUCCUGCUGUUCUUGGAGUUGAACACUAAUGGGCUUAAGCUUUCCAGGACUCAGGCGUUCCCAGACACAUCUCCUAACAAACAGCCUGAUGGAUUUGGAAGCAAGUUCCUUGACCUUUGGCUGCAGGGUUGCCUUAUGGCCUCCACUAAAAUAAAGAAGUGUAAUCUCCAUGGUGCAAAAUAGAAGUCAGCAAAUCUCCUGCCAAGAAGCAGACAAGGAAAAAUGGUUUCUGGGCCUCUUCUUUUGGGAAACUUACCAGUUAUUCCACUGAGAAUUUACAAAACCCUCCACAGUUCUCAGAGCACCUGCAGAGUGGUCCAUUUGCAUUCCCUUCAUCCACUGAUUGGACCAUUUUCGGGAAACAAUUUAAAAGAAGAUAUAUAGAAAUAUACAUCUUCCAUCUCUAGCAGCUUUUGGUACAAACCAAACACAAAGAAAAAAAGACUACAGUUUUAC
ensembl:lncRNA